rnacentral:lncRNA from 10 species
UUUUAGAGGAGGGAAGGAAGGUGGAAGAUGAGACAGGAGAGAAAGGCACAGAAUCCAGAAAUGCCGGCAGCCAGUGGUCCCAGCCAGGCCUGCCUCCUGUGGACAGGGAAUCUGCUCAUUUGAAAGACAACACAAGUUUUCAGAGCAUUUUCUUCAGUUCAGGACAAAAUUUUCAUAUUUAAAUGACUGAGGAAUAUUUUGAAGAUUUGACUGAGUAAUGUCUAUGCCGAAGGUGGCUGAACCAGGAAGCCAAGACUGCCCUGAUCCCAUGGAGAGAUCCUGAAGAGAUGAGGAAACUCAAGGGCGUAAGGGAUGUCUGGGGGACCCAGCUGGUGCAUAAGUCUCAUUUCUGGAGCUCACUGUCUUCCUGGCUGAGAUCCAGCCACACCAGCCUCCUUGCCGGUUAUUAGCCUCUUCAUUCAAGGAAUAUCCAUUGUUGCCCACUGUGUGUCAAUCAUGAAAUGACGCUGGGGUAACACAUAUCCCAGUGGAGGAGACAGGCAUGACUUAAUUAAUCACAGGACCACACUUCCACGCAGAGCAGGGGAGGCAUAUGGUGUUCUGGGAGAGUAAAGGAUCUGACUCAGUUCCUACCUUCAAGAGCCCACAGUCAAGAUUUACUCACUCAUCACAGCUUGGCAGAAGUUUUACGAAGCUUAGAUUAUCUGCCAAGAUUUUUCAAUUCUCCAGGUUGUUGUGAAGUGAAGACGCAGCAAAGAGGCAUCGAGUAUUUUUGAGUACCUCCUCUGUACCAGACACUGUUCCAGGCAUCUGAUCUGCAGAGCUCUCAUCUUCCUGGUGAGAUCGCCGGGCUUCAGGGUUAAGAGCGUGGGCUUGGCAUGAGUUAGAAUCUGGGGCUACACCACUGUCCAGGCGUGCAUUUGAGCUCUCACAUUUGUCAAAUGAGUACGUGAGUCAUAGAGUUGAUGAGAAGAUUAAAGGGAGCCCAGGGCCUGGUUUGUAGAAAGGGCUUGAUAAGCAAAGGUUAUUUUACAUUGCCAGAGACGGGGGGCCAUGUUGGACAACAGCCACAUCUGGUAUUUUAUUUUUUUCUCUCUCCAUGUGUGUCUGGGCUGGGCUGAGCUGGAGGCAUGUCUUUGUGGAGCAGCCUCUGUCCAGAUCAUUAUUGUGUGAUUCAAACCCAGCGCCCAGACGAGCCCUUGGUGCUGUGUCUAGUUUCUCACCUCUUCUGUGGGUCAGUGGACAAGGGUCUGUGAAAAGCAAGGGUCUCCCUCCUGGAGAGUGCCUUGUUGCUGUGAGAAAAACCCUGGCUGCAGCUCUGUGUCUCCAGGGUUCUAGCUGUAAGAAGGGUUCAGCGUCCGGGCUCCCUUUGUGGCCAGGUUUAUGGGAGAGCCGAUGUGUGGCUGUGCAUUGCCCAACACUACAGUGUAUGAUGGAUUGAAAUGACUUCACUCUUGCUACUUCCCUAGUUUCAACGUUGGAAGAAAAUGAGCUAUCCCAUCUCUUCUAGUCUGGUUGUUUCUCUUCUCCAAAAUUCUGAGAUCUUGCUUAGACAGAGAGAUCAAGGACUUGACACUUCCCAUCCCCUCC